rnacentral:rRNA from 1 species
GACGAACCGUGCGAACGUUGUUCGGAAUCACUGGGCUUAAAGGGCGCGUAGGCGGGGUGGCAAGUCUGUGGUGAAAUCCUCCGGCUCAACCCGGAGAACUGCCGUGGAUACUGCCAUUCUCGAGGGGUGUAGGGGCAUGUGGAACUCAGGGUGGAGCGGUGAAAUGCGUAGAUAUCCUGAGGAACGCCGGUGGCGAAAGCGAGGUCCUGGAUGCCUACUGACGCUGAGACGCGAAAGCCAGGGGAGCGAACGGG